rnacentral:lncRNA from 1 species
AGCACCGAGUCAGGUGUGGAGAGAGAAGAUAGUUAUACACGAAGAGGAGGCACCGCCGGAACCACCGACUACGCCAUCCAGCGAAUCCCAGGACGACUGAGAAAAUGGAGAGUCCCGUUCGGAGGACUUAAAAACACCGAACGCCUUGCCAAGAGGUAAACUUGGUAGUUAUCCUUUUCCUUUCAAUUAUUCAACUAUAGUUUGCUUAGUUAAUCAGGUUCAGGCUAUCUUGAAAAGAAAAUACAAAUGUUAAAAAUAGUAAGCCCCAAAUGAGUAUGCUCAUGUCAUAAAACCCAUAAGUACAUUCACUGUGGUGGCAUAAAAUAAAUAUAUUCCUAUCCUAUAAAAAUAAGAAUAUAAAAAUAAAUUUAUGAUCCUACUAAAGAGAGUAACAUUUAUUGAGGAGGCUCAACAUGAUAAAGGCUAGAUAUUUUAUGCUAACACUUAACCAGUUCCACAAAGCUUUGUUGUCUAUUUGAGCUCCACAGAAUUCAAGGAUCAAAGAAGACUAGCAGACGGAGGACAUCCUAAUCGCUGUCAGGGUGCUGCCGACAUUCAAAUACACCUCCGCCACCUGCUAGCUACAUCAGAAGAAAUUACGUCAAAAUCCAGCUUGGGGGAGAGCACCCACAUUUAUCCAGCUAAGUGUUUCUACUCGCGUUUAUACUUUACUCAAAUAAUAAAAAGAUGCAUAAUCAUAAAAACCCAAAUAAAGAUUUAUGUGCUUAUAUAUAUCUCCGCUUAGUUUGCUAAAUAAAUAAAUAAAGUGUCUAGGCCAAACUGAACCCUCAUGAUAAGCUCUCACAUGGAAAUAAUGAAUAGUUGCUCUGCCAUGACUAGUUCUAAAAAUUGAAAUCUCUCUCAAGUUUAGGCAUGACUGUUAUGAAUUAAGAUUUGUUCUAACCCUGAACUUGUGGGAAGAGUACUUGAUCUAAACUCUAAGUCGUUAACGGAUAAGAUAUGGAAAGGUUGAGCUGCUAUUUAUCUGUUCCUAGAGAUGCUAGAAUUCUGGAGAAUUUUAUCUUUGAAAAUCUUUAAAAUAACACAUGAUGAGUUCCAUUAUGAUGAGAGUUUAAAUUCCUACCACAGCCAUAUAUACAUGCUUGCUAGACUUUGAGCCACACAUUUACUUUUUACUGCUUAUGAGCAUUGAGUGUGGUCAAGCUGUGUAGACCCUUAGGAGCUUGUCAUGUAGUUAAAAUCAAGAUUCACUUGCACGUUCCCUCACGAUAUUGCUUCUACACCAGAAGUACGCAUCCACAUAUAUCCACUCAUUUUCAUCUCCAGAGCCACCUAAAAGUAUUCUUCUCCUAAUCCGGGAGAGAAUAGCCAAAAACAUUUCCCUAUUUCUGUUUUCCCCUAUGAAAUAAAUGCUCGAGUUAUCUUGGUUACUACCGCUUGCUAUAUUAUUUCAGGAGAUGGGUGCUCUGAAAAAAAAGAAGAAAAGGAAAAAUACGAGGAAAUAAAAAGGGGCAAGUGCCUGGAACCUCGAAGAAAAGAAAAAGUGAGACGAGAGGUAAAAAUGGACAAGUGUCUGACAGUAGAAUUAGGGGUACAAGAUACCCACCUGAGAGAAAAAGAAAAAGAAAAUGUAGAGCAUCUCAUUCUCCUCAAAAAGCUUCAAAGUGCAAGAAAGGUAUGUAUCCCCUCAAAAGAGCAAAUGUAGAAUUAGACUUUCACCAUUGCUUUCACCAUUAUCACCAUCAUCACCAUACAUCAUUCAUUCGCCACACAUGCACAUCUUGAUUUGACUUAUUGACUUGUUUCUCUAGAUCCAUGGUUUGACUAUGCAAUAAAUGUCUUGUAAGUAUGUAUUAGCUGUCUCCCACCUAUGAGCUCUAGAUAUCCAAACCUUAUUAGAGUAGGAUGAGAGAGAAAGCAAUAUCACUGUGCCUCAUACCAAAAACACCACAUACUUUGAGAGAAGGCAUACACCAUUACUGCCUUGGAAAGGAUCUAGAAAUACCAUAAAAGAGAGAUUUGAGAAAGUCAUACAAGGAAUCUCUGAGUUUUAUUUGAAAAUCUGCAAAAAAACUCUAGAGCUAUAGCUGAUCAAGAAUAAGAGACAUGGCGCUUGACUUGACCGUUCUACUUUUAACUGCUCAAGACACAAGUGACAGUUGCAAGCCCCAUGGUGAAAGAAACUCUUGAGUUCAUCCUUGCUCAGGGACGAGCAAGAGGUAAGCUUGGGGGAGUUAUUGAUGGUCCUUAAGUACCAAAUAUAAUCAUCAAGUAAAUAAAGAAAAGGAUCCAAAUGCAACCAACACCCAGACUUAGGGUUUUAUCUGACAGAAUUCUAUGAGUUUUGGUGUUUGUCUAUUUCUAUAGGGGGUUAUCAGGAAAUACGGAAGAAAGGCCCACACGUCGGGUUUACAUAGAGAUAUUAACGUGCCAUGCAAUUUUCUGUCAUCUAGAAGACUCCAGAAGCCACGGGAACGAACGGGAAAGCGAACGGGCCUGGGGGCAGGGCGCCCGCCCUCCCCCCUUGGGCGCCCGCCCUGUCCCAGAGUCCAAUCAGGCCUCUCUUUAGGGAUUACGCUCCACCGACCUAAAGGAUCAAGGAUAACCGUUCAAUCAAUGUCGGUUUGAUCUGACGGCCCAUAUUCACUUGGAGGGACUAUAUAACCAGACCCCCAGCCCCUGGAGGAGAACAAGUUCAUCAUAGAGUUGAGAGGAGCCCUCGAAGGAAUACCUCUCCUCUAAAUAAAAUUUCUUUUAGGCUUAGCAUCCAAUGUGAGUAGAGUUAGAUCUUCUAGUUUCUACUAGAUUGAGAGAGAUAGGGUGGAGGUGUAGAUCGGAGGAAGCCC